CAGCACCUCAAGUGGUCAGGAUGAUUAUUGGGCCUAAAGCAUCCGUAGCCGGCGCUGUAAGUUUUCGGUUAAAUCUGUACGCUCAACGUACAGGCUGCCGGGAAUACUGCAGCGCUAGGGAGUGGUAGAGGUAGACGGUACUCGGUAGGAAGGGGUAAAAUCCUUUGAUCUAUUGAUGACCACCUGUGGCGAAGGCGGUCUACCAGAACACGUCCGACGGUGAGGGAUGAAAGCUGGGGGAGCAAACCGGAUUAGAUACCCGAGUAGUCC
rnacentral:rRNA from 1 species